rnacentral:misc_RNA from 1 species
AUGGUGGCCUUCAAGGGCUGUCACUUUUAUUGAUAAUCACGACACUGGAUCAACUCAGGCGCACUGGCCUUUCCCUUCACAUCAUGUUAUGGAGGGCUAUGCAUACAUUCUAACGCACCCAGGGAUACCAUCAGUUUUCUAUGACCAUUUCUACGAAUGGGAUAAUUCCAUGCAUGACCAAAUUGUAAAGCUGAUUGCUAUUCGGAGGAAUCAAGGCAUACACAGUCGUUCAUCUAUAAGGAUUAUUGAGGCACAGUCAAACUUAUACGCUGCAACCAUUGAUGAAAAGGUUAGCAUGAAGAUCGGGGACGGAUCAUGGUGCCCUGCUGGGAAAGAGUGGACUCUCGCGACCAGUGGCCAUCGCUAUGCAGUCUGGCAGAAGUAAUCUUAUAUAUAUGUGUGUGUGUUUCAAACCCGUGCACCUACUUCUAAUACUGGAUCCGCCUCUAUAGGUUUGGUUGGAGCGAUA